rnacentral:rRNA from 2 species
CUGCGGCCUAUCAGCUUGUUGGUGAGGUAAAGGCCCACCAAGGCUAUUACAGGUACGGGCUCUGAGAGGAGAAGCCCGGAGAUGGGUACUGAGACACGGACCCAGGCCCUAUGGGGCGCAGCAGGCGAGAAAACUUUGCAAUGUGCGAAAGCACGACGAGGUUAAUCCGAGUGAUUUCUGCUAAAGGAAUCUUUUGCCAGUCCUAAAAACACUGGUGAAUAAGGGGUGGGCAAGUUCUGGUGUCAGCCGCCGCGGUAAAACCAGCACCUCAAGUUGUCAGGAGGAUUAUUGGGCCUAAAGCAUCCGUAGCCGGCUCUGUUAGUUUUCGGUUAAAUCCAUAUGCUCAACAUAUGGGCUGUCGAAAAUACUGCAGAGCUAGGGAAUGGGAGAGGUAGACGGUACUUGGUAGGAAGGGGUAAAAUCCUUUGAUCUAUCGAUGACCACCUGUGGCGAAGGCGGUCUACCAGAACAUGU